rnacentral:snoRNA from 1 species
AUCCUUAUUUGAUACAUAAAUGUGACUAGGUUUUCACACCACUGUGUGAAAUGUGAUUGUCUCAAGCUUUGUUGCAAUUCCAGCACACUGUGUGAUG